GGGGUGUACGGAAUUUUACACCGUUGUUGAAAAUUCAUACACUCAUUCGGCUGCGCCUCAGGGUGUAUGAAUUUUCAACAACGGUGUAAAAUUCUGUACACCCC
rnacentral:sRNA from 1 species